rnacentral:rRNA from 1 species
GACGGAGGGGGCAAGCGUUGUCCGGAAUCACUGGGCGUAAAGCGCACGUAGGCGGGACGGUGCGUCGGUGCUGAAAGCGCCAGGCUUAACCUGGCGAGGCGUGCCGAUACGACCGACCUCGAGGCAGACAGAGGGUGGCGGAAUUCCGGGUGUAGUGGUGAAAUGCGUAGAGAUGUGGAGGGACACCGAUGGCGAAGGCAGCCCCCUGGGUUAACACUGACGCUCAGGCACGAAAGCGUGGGGAGCAAACAGG